GGGUUCGGAAUAACAGUGAGAAAUUACUGCUAAUACCGGAUGAUGACUUCGGUCCAAAGAUUUAUCGCCCAAGGAUGAGCCCGCGUAAGAUUAGCUAGUUGGUGAGGUAAAGGCUCACCAAGGCGACGAUCUUUAGCUGGUCUGAGAGGAUGAUCAGCCACACUGGGACUGAGACACGGCCCAGACUCCUACGGGAGGCAGCAGUGGGGAAUAUUGGACAAUGGGCGAAAGCCUGAUCCAGCAAUGCCGCGUGAGUGAUGAAGGCCUUAGGGUUGUAAAGCUCUUUUACCAGGGAUGAUAAUGACAGUACCUGGAGAAUAAGCUCCGGCUAACUCCGUGCCAGCAGCCGCGGUAAUACGGAGGGAGCUAGCGUUGUUCGGAAUUACUGGGCGUAAAGCGCACGUAGGCGGCCAUUCAAGUCAGAGGUGAAAGCCCGGGGCUCAACCCCGGAACUGCCUUUGAAACUAGAUGGCUUGAAUCUUGGAGAGGCGAGUGGAAUUCCGAGUGUAGAGGUGAAAUUCGUAGAUAUUCGGAAGAACACCAGUGGCGAAGGCGACUCGCUGGACAAGUAUUGACGCUGAGGUGCGAAAGCGUGGGGAGCAAA
rnacentral:rRNA from 1 species